rnacentral:rRNA from 1 species
UACGGAGGAUGCGAGCGUUAUCCGGAUUUAUUGGGUUUAAAGGGUGCGUAGGCGGCAUUAUAAGUUAGUGGUAAAAUAUUGGGGCUUCACCUCACUACGCCAUUAAUACUGUAGAGCUAGAGAACAGACGAGGUAGGCGGAAUAAGUUAAGUAGCGGUGAAAUGCAUAGAUAUAACUUAGAACACCGAUAGCGAAGGCAGCUUACCAAGCUACUUCUGACGUUGAGGCACGAAAGCGUGGGGAGCAAACAGG